UAAAGAAAAGCCAUGGAUCACUGCUACAGGAGAAUAAAACAGCUAAGUCAUGCCGAAGAUCAAUGUCAGGGUAUCACCAUUCAUUAAACAAAGUUUGCCUGUGCAAUCAUCAAAUAUAUAAGGCCUGUGAUAUCAAGGAAUACAUCCUGCAAUGUUAAAUGGAAUGAUAAGCUCAGUCAAGAAUCUGAGGAAUCAGAUGAAAAUCAGCUUGUGUAUGUCUUCUCACCUUCCUUUUCUCAAGUAUCCCAAGUUAUCACCACAGCCAAGAGAGAGUAAGGAAAGAAAAUUCACUAUGUAGAGUUAUGCUGGGCUUCGGGACAGAAGAUAUCCUUUCAGACAUUUCCUUUUCAUCCCUGCCUGAAUGAUCUCACAAGUAUGAAACAAAAAAGUCUCAUGCCAUGAUGGUUUAAAAAGAACACCACCUUGGAACUGACAGCUACCAUAGAUACAGACAAAGUUUAUUCUAAUUUACUGAUUUAUUUGUCCCUAUGCAUAGUUUAUUGCAAUUCUUUAUAAAAAUGCCGAAGUCUGAUAUAUAGAAAAGUCAAGGAAUGGUUUCAUAAGUGUCAGAAGGGUUUGUUUUGAUGUUGCUAAAUCAGACUGUUUUGGCUCAGAGUGGGAAGGAGAGACAAGGAGACAUGAGCACUGUUCACGACAGGGGGGCCUGUUCUGGCAUCUCCAUGGUAAGGUAGCCCACUGCAAUGCAGAAGACAUGCAUUGACUAUUCUCAGAGUUUACCAGAAUUGAAGGCUUUUUCUUUCUCAUAAGAGUUGCUGACUGAGAAGUUCACACCCUUUUUGAGGUGCUGCUAUUUUAUGUUUAAAAAGUUACUAGAAGAGCCAAUGGAAGUGAUGAGUGCUCCUUUUCUGGUGAAUUCUCUUAAGGCAAGCUAUGACACUAUCUUGAAUGUAAGUGCAAAUGUACAUGACUGUAAAUAAAUAUUUAGAGGUUAAUGUAAAAUGAAAGCUUUUCAAUAAGAGUAGAUGAUAAAGAACUAGCCCAGAAUACCUACAGAUCAUCAGAGUCCACCCAAAAAAAUGAGAUAUCAGAUUUUAAAUUCUGGCUUUAUUCGAGGUAAAAAGGUUAUUUAAACCCCUUCACAUUAUCCUAAGUGAGGGUUUUAAAGCAAAAAGUUGAACUACUUUGUAUGAAUUUUUAUUAGCUUCCUUCCCAGAAUGAAUGAUCCAGAAAAAGCAAAUUUCUUCAGUCCUAACUUUAUUUUACCAAAGGUUAAAGAAAAAUAAUUUUGGAUGGACCUAGAAUUUUGGGGUGUUCUUGACAUGAAGUUUCCUACAAAAAAGCUAAGCUGAGAAAAUCCAUGUAUAUUUUCCCUUUCUCUCUAUCUUGUGCUUCGGCAACCCAAUGUGCACACGGGACACCCUCAUAGUCCAGGCUGCCUUCAAAGCAGACAACUUGUAGAUCGAGCACCUGGGCUAAGAAGUUGAAAGAGACCUCAAGAUGAACAAAGAAUGGCUCCAUCCCAUCAUAAGCAAACUUUCUAGGUGAAACAGACUUGCUGCCUAAAGAAAGAAACUUGUGCUUAACACAAGUCAAGACAAUCUGCACUUACCCAGAUUAGAAAGUAAGUUUUCUAGACGUGGAAGAAAGGCAGCUGAGCUGUUUCAGUUCCACAAACCAAUACCUCCUCAUCAAUGAGAUUAAAAUUAUUUUUCUUUUGUUUUGAUAACAUUUUUUCUAGAUCAUCUUCCUCCUUUCUUAACACAU